rnacentral:misc_RNA from 1 species
CUGCAGAGGCUGACAGCUGAAGGGUUUCAAAAAGAUUCAAAGGCAAACCUCAAAAACAUUAUCUCCAAUUUAUUACCACACCAUUUCGUUUGAUGUCUACCGGCCUUGUUCGGCCCCCAAACUAUUGCACUUCCCAACUUCCUGGUCGCCGACUUAGCGCCCGCAUUAAGUCAACAGAGAUUGAUUUUAUGUGGUGCAAAUACUCUGUCUGUAGGAGAUGAUUUUAUAAUUCUGUUAUUAUUCAAUUUUUUUUCUCUCUCCUUCCCUACAGAUCAUUUGGCGGUAUCACUACCAAAGAGAGCAAGAAAGUGGCAUCCGUAUCUCAAGGUGCCAUGAGGCCGGCUAUUCCCAGCACCAAGACUGUACCCUGUGAAUUAGACAUGUCCGGUGAUAGUAGCACAUUAGAGAAAAAGAGCAGUACUAAGAAAUCUGGUUCCUCCAGUGCCAACACCAGUGGUUCUGCGGACGAGACCGUGAUUGGCUAUUACCUGUGUUCCGAGCCCAUUCCGUACCGCAUCACAGUACAGGGCAAGCAUAUCACUCUGGCUAUGUUCAAACAGCUGAUUGGUCGAAAAGGAAACUUCAAGUAAGUUUUUUUUUUUUUUUUUGCUAAAAUAAAAAAUCAAGACAAAAAUUCUAGUUACUCUGUUGCUUUAUCAUACGAGUCUUGUGAUAAACUGUAAUAGCGACUUCAUGAUGUUUGAAAAUUUUAAAUGUACAAAAACAAAUGAAAAAAUAAGCUAACAACUGGGGGGUUCCAAUUUGACAUUUUUUUUGCGUAGAUAAUCCAGCUGGUGGCAUGAGGUCACAUCACAAUGAUUUCGUUUUCUGUCAUUAUAUCACAGUUGACUUGUAAUUGAAGAAAUGUCCCAAUAUCUUAGAUCAUCUGUAGAGAUAGGGAUUUGUAAAAAAACGGAAUCUCGUUUCAUGUGGUAGGUUGUGUCCGAUGACAAGGCUUCGUUUAUAGCCGUGGAUGGUAUGAAAUUUAUGACAAGAUGUUUUCUUUUGGAAAGACAGACCCAAAAACAGGAAGAACAGGUGUACAACUCUAAGUGCAGUGUAAAUUAGGGAUAAGGUGUACUCUCUAACACUAUGAAAGCUGACAUCUUUACAUGGAAACACAUUUCAGAAAGAUUUUAACAAAUUUGAUGUGUCAAAAAUAUCUAAGACUCAAUUAUGAUGGGGUCGCUCACAGAGCGUUUUAUUUUUUUUUAUUGUGUCAACAAAGCAGCCUUUUUUGAGUCUGAUUGAUGGGAUUUUUUCCCAUUUCAUUCUUGAAAUACAAUGUUGAGUCACCCACAUGACUGAAAUUCUAAAAAUGUCCCUUUUUUGAUUUUUGCAGGUAUUUCUUCAAGAAGCGCAGUAACGAGUUUGAAAGCGAGGUUGUGUUUGAAGAGAUCAGCAAUGACGACGAAGUACUCCCAUUAUGGGAUGGCAAAAUUGUCGCAAAAGUCGAUAAGAUGGAUUAGGCACGGACUUUCUGAAUCUUCCAUUGGACCUACUGUGCAGAUGUGCACUCAAAUCAUUACACCAGGCAGUUUUAGUGCUAAUAUCAAGUGUUAAGUGCAGGGUAAUGAUUUGAAAAUAUUUUUAUCUUUUCUCUUUUUUAAUUUAUUUGCUGCAAUAAGAAUAAAUACUGUAUGUAUUUAGUCUUUGCAAAAUCUUAACACAUAUUGUCAGUCUUUUAAGUUAAGAUUUUUUUUAAUUUCGUGUCACUCUUUUAAAAUUACUUUUAAAAAGAUAAACAAAUUAUGAGUGUUUCUUUUAAUUACAAAUUAAGAAAUUCUUUUGUGCCAAUAUUUGUAUAUUUUCGUGCAAGCUGAUGUCAAGAGAGUGUGACUGAAUGUGUAAUGCAUGUGAACAUGUAUGUAAAAAACAUGUAUAUAAGCCAAACUCAGGGGUAUUUUUUAUUUUUUGGGCAUGGAACAGAUCCAUGGACAAAAGCUACACAAUGUUCAGACUUAGGAAGGGGUUGUGUGCUCUUGUUUGCAGGGUACAUUGAACAAAAAAAUUUCGUGUUGCAAAUCUGGGUAAAGAAAUUGUAAGACAACAGACAUAUCUUUUUUUAAAACAAUGUAUAUCUUAUUUAUUUGAUAUUUAAAUAUCAUUCAUUACAUUGCGUCUGACAGUAUUUUUAUUUUUCUUCAUGCAAGGAAUCUUUUAGCUUUCGCUUGACUUUCUCCAUUUUUGAGAACCUUUAUCAAUAGAAGAUUUCUUUCCUUGAAGGACAUUUGAAUCCAUAAACCUUUUUUCUAUAGCAGAGAAGUUUUCCAUUUUAACUUUCAGAUGACUUCUGUUUUUAACUUUGUGAUUUUUUUACUGUUGAAAUAUUGAAAUUGUGUGUUUUAAAGAAUGAAAUUUUCCAGGAGAUUAAUGUAAGAUUAUUUUCAUAUGGAAAUCAUGUCAUAUCAUUUUUUUGUGAACAAAUGAGAAUCAAAUGUUUCAGGUUGAAGCUGAUGGUGAAAAAUUGAUUCUAUAUUUAUUAUUUGUAUGUUAAAUGUUUCAAAUGCAGGAUGUAUGUGAGCUUGAAUUUUCUGUGGUGUUUUAAGACCGAGGAGUAACUAUUGUUUUCUUUUACUUCUGUUUUUUUCCCCCUUUUAAAAACUGCUUGUAUUGUAAAACAACAAAAUUGUGCAUCUACUGGUCAAGGAGAUGUAGUCUGGAUCAAGUCGACCAGAAAAAAUUCCUUCAUUUGUCUGUGAUUUUUUUUUCUACGUGGCUGUUGUAUGGUUGUGUAUUAAAUGUCCACAGCUUUAAUGGAACUUACUUACAAUUAUGAUAUUUAAAAAUGUAUAAAGGAUAUAUUGUAUAUAUUGACCUAUUAAAGUUUCAUUGUCAUGGAUGACUGACUCUCGUUGCCAUGGAGUCUUCUAUCAUUCACCAUCAUCUAGGUAGAAAUAAAAACAUUUCCAUAUGUGUAAAAAUAGAACAAAAACACAAUAAAGUUUGUACAUUAUUU